UGGGGAAUAUUGCACAAUGGGCGCAAGCCUGAUGCAGCCAUGCCGCGUGUAUGAAGAAGGCCUUCGGGUUGUAAAGUACUUUCAGCGGGGAGGAAGGCGAUAAGGUUAAUAACCUUGUCGAUUGACGUUACCCGCAGAAGAAGCACCGGCUAACUCCGUGCCAGCAGCCGCGGUAAUACGAAGGGGGCAAGCGUUAAUCGGAAUUACUGGGCGUAAAGCGCACGCAGGCGGUCUGUCAAGUCGGAUGUGAAAUCCCCGGGCUCAACCUGGGAACUGCAUUCGAAACUGGCAGGCUAGAGUCUUGUAGAGGGGGGUAGAAUUCCAGGUGUAGCGGUGAAAUGCGUAGAGAUCUGGAGGAAUACCGGUGGCGAAGGCGGCCCCCUGGACAAAGACUGACGCUCAGGUGCGAAAGCGUGGGGAGCAAACA
rnacentral:rRNA from 1 species